UACGUAGGGGGCAAGCGUUGUCCGGAAUCAUUGGGCGUAAAGAGCGUGUAGGCGGCCCGAUAAGUCCGCUGUGAAAGUCCAGGGCUCAACCCUGGAAUGCCGGUGGAUACUGUGGGGCUAGAGUACGGAAGAGGCGAGUGGAAUUCCUGGUGUAGCGGUGGAAUGCGCAGAUAUCAGGAGGAACACCAAUAGCGAAGGCAGCUCGCUGGGACGUGACUGACGCUGAGACGCGAAAGCGUGGGGAGCAAACAGG
rnacentral:rRNA from 1 species